rnacentral:rRNA from 1 species
UUGGUCAUUUAGAGGAAGUAAAAGUCGUAACAAGGUUUCCGUAGGUGAACCUGCGGAAGGAUCAUUACCGAGUACCGGGUCCUCUGGGCCCUACUCCCACCCUAUGUGUACCUACCAUAUGUUCGUUGCCUUGGCGGGGUCGAUCCCUGGGCCUCACGGCCCGCUCCGGGGGACCCGCCAGGGGGACACUACCAAACCUCUGUCAACCGUGCCGUCUGAGAAAAACACAAAUAAGUCAAAACUUUCAACAACGGAUCUCUUGGUUCUGGCAUCGAUGAAGAACGCAGCGAAAUGCGAUAAGUAGUGUGAAUUGCAGAAUUCAGUGAAUCAUCGAAUCUUUGAACGCACAUUGCGCCCUUUGGUAUUCCAAAGGGCAUGCCUGUUCGAGCGUCAUUUGUACCCUCAAGCUUUGCUUGGUGUUGGGCGUCUUGUCUCUAGCUUUGCUGGAGACUCGCCUUAAAGUAAUUGGCAGCCGGCCUACUGGUUUCGGAGCGCAGCACAAGUCGCACUCUCUAUCAGCAAAGGUCUAGCAUCCAUUAAGCCUUUUUUCAACUUUUGACCUCGGAUCAGGUAGGGAUACCCGCUGAACUUAAGCAUAUCAAUAAG